UUUUUUUAAAAGCUUGAUGUUGUGUUCUCUAUUGCUCAUUUCUUUAGUUUCGUAUCCGAAUAAUUUUAUUUACUUUCAAGGACACUGUGGUUUUAACAUUUGAUCUUUUCUCCUUUCUCUACCUUGCUUUAAGCAUAAGGGUAGAAUUUUCAGGUUUCGCGUGGUCAAGAGAAGUUUAUUGGGAAUUAAUUCUUCGAUAAGUUUCCUCCCUAUUCCUUAUUCUCUCAAAUUUUGCAUUGUUUUUCAUAUUUAUCUUUUAUGUUUUCGUGUUAUAUGUCUACUGUAUGUGUGUACUAGAAAAUUAAUUUAUGAAUCCGUUAAUUUCUUUGUUUGUUUUUUAUCUUGAUCUUGCGUUGUGUAUUCCUCAUUUCAUUAGUUUCGUAUCUACAUAAUUUAAUUUCCUUUAACCGAUAUUGUGCCUUAAGAGUUAAUUUUCUUAUUCUCGUUUUUACAUUUGUAAUCUACUCAUUUCGCUACCUUCUAUAAGCGUAAGGGUAGAAUUUUUAGGUUUCCCCAGGAAAAGAAAUGUUUGUUUGGAAAUACUUGUCAGGUAAGUUUUCUCUGUAUCCACUAUUCUCCUCCAUUUUGUAAUGUUCUUCAUUCUUCUCUUUUAUGUUUGAUUGUUAUUUGUUGAUUGCGUGUAUAUAGUAGAUAAUGAAUUUUCAAUCCUUUGAUUUCAUUGUUUUUUUUUUUAGAGCUCUAUGUUGUGGUUUUUAUUACUCAUUUCUUUAGUUUCUUAUCAAAAUAAUUUUAUUUACUUUCAAGGACAAUGUGGUUUUAACAUUUGAUUUCUACUCUUUUCUCUACCUUGUUUUAAGCGUAAGAGUAAAAUUUUUAGGUUUUCCGUGGUGAAGAUAAGUUUAUUGGGAAUUAGUUCUUGGAUAAGUUUCCUCCGUAUUCCCUAUUCUCUCAAAUUUUGCACGGUUCUUCAUAUUUAUCUUGUAUGUUUUCGUAUUAUAUGUCUACUGUAUGUGUGUGCUAGAAAAUUAAUUUUGAUUCUGUUAACUUCUUUGUUUGUUUUUUAUCUUAAUUUUGCGUUGCUUAUUCCUCAUUUCUUUAGUUUCAUAUCUGCAUAGUUUGAUUUUCUUUCAACCAAAGCCUUAAGAGUUAAUUUUCUUAUUCUUGUUUUUACAUUUGAUCUCUACCCCUUUUGCUUCCUUCUAUAAGCGUAAAGGUAGAAUUUUUAGGUUUCCCAAAGAAAAGAGAAGUUUAUUGGAAAAUACUUGUCAGAUAAGUUUCCUCGAUAUACACUAUUCUCCUUCAUUACGCAUUGUAAUUCAUUCUGCUCUUUUAUGUUUGAGUGUUAUUUGUUGACUACAUGUAUGUAGUAGAGAAUGAAUUUUCAAUCUUUUGAUUUCAUUGUUUUUUUUUAGCUUUAUGUUGAGUUUUCUAUUACUCAUUUCUUAAGUUUCUUAUCAAAAUAAUUUUAUUUACUCUUAAGAAAAUUGUGGUUUUAACAUUUGAUCUCUACUCCUUUCUCGACCUUCCUUUAAGCGUAACGGUAGAAUUUUCAGGUUUCCCGUGGUGAGGAGAAGCUUUUUGGGAAUUAGUUCUUGUAUAAGUUUCCUCUGUAUUCCCCUAUUCUCUCAAAUUUUGCAUUGUUCUUCAUAGUUAUCUUGUAUGUUUUCGUGUUAUAUGUCCACUGUAUAUGUGUACUAGAAAAUUAAUUUUGAAUCCGUUAAUUUCUUUGUUUGUUUUUUAUCUUGAUCUUGCGUUGUCUAUUCCUCAUUUCUUUAGUUUCGUAUCAGCAUAAUUUAAUUUCCUUUCAACGAUAUUGUGUCUUGAGAGUUAAUUUUCUUAUUCUCGUUUUUACAUUUGAUCUCUACGCCUUUCGUUACUUUCUAUAAGCGUAAGGGUAGAAUUUUCAAGUGUCCCGAGGAAAUGAGAAGUUUAUUUGGAAAUACUUGUCAGGUAAGUUUCCUCUGUAUCCCUUAUUCUCUUCCAUUUCGCAUUGUUCUUUAUUAUUCUCUUUUAUGUUUGAGUGUUAUUUUUUAAUCGCAUGUAUGUAGUAGAGAAUAAAUUUUCAAUCCUUUGAUUUCUUUGUUUUCUUUUUAAAAGCUUGUUGUUGUGUUUUCUUCCUCAUUUCUUUAGUUUCGUAUCAGAAUAAUUUGAUUUACUUUCAAGGACAUUGUGCUUUUCACAUUUGAUCUAUACACCUUUCUUUAAGCAUAAGGGUAGAAUUUUCAGGUUUCCCGAGGUCAAGAGAAGUUUAUUGAGAAUUAGUUCUUCGAUAAGUUUCCUCCAUAUUCCCUAUUCUCUCAAAUUAUGCAUUGUUCUUCAUAUUUAUCUUUUAUGUUUUCGUGUUAUAUGUCUAUUGUAUGUAUGUACUAGAAAAUUAAUUUUGAAUCCGUUAAUUUCUUUAUUUGUUUUUUAUCUCGAUGUUGCGUUGUCUAUUCCUCAUUUUUUUAGUUUCGUAUCAGCAUAAUUUAAUUUCAUUUCAACGAUAUUGUGUCUUGAGAGUUAAUUUUCUUAUUCUCGUUUUUACAUUUAAUCUCUACUCCUUUCGCUACUUUCUAUAAGUGUAAGGGUAGAAUUUUCAAGUGUCCCGAGGAAAAGAGAAGUUUAUUUGGAAAUACUUGUCAGGUAAGUUUCCUCCGUAUUCCCUAUUCUCUUCCAUUUCGCAUUGUUCUUUAUUAUUCUCUUUUAUGUUUGAGUGUUAUUUGUUGACCACAUAUAUGUAGUAGAGAAUUAAUAUUCAAUCCUUUGAUUUCUUUGUUUUUUUUUUUAAAAGCUUGAUGUUGUGUUUUCUAUUCCUCAUUUCUUUAGUUUCGUAUCAGAAUAAUUUUGAUUUACUUUCAAGGACAUUGUGGUUUUCACAUUUGAUUUGCACUCCUUUCUCUACCUUUCUUUANNNNNNNNNNNNNNNNNNNNNNNNNNNNNNNNNNNNNNNNNNNNNNNNNNNNNNNNNNNNNNNNNNNNNNNNNNNNNNNNNNNNNNNNNNNNNNNNNNNNUGCAAAAUUUAAGAGAAUAGGGAAUACGGAGGAAACUUAUCCAAGAACUAAUUCCCCGUAAACUUCUCUUUACCACGGGAAACCUGAAAAUUCUACCCUUAUGCUUAAAGAAAGGUAAAGAAGGUGUACAGAUCAAAUGUGAAAACCACAAUGUCCUUGAAAGUAAAUCAAAUUAUUCUGAUACGAAACUAAAGAAAUGAGGAAUAGAAAACACAACAUCAAGCUCAUAAAAAAAACAAAGAAAUCAAAGGAUUGAAAAUUAAUUCUCUACAUACAUGCGGUUAACAAAUAACACUCAAACAUAAAAGAGAAGAAUCAAGAACAAUGCGAAAUGGAAGAGAAUAGGGGAUACGGAGGAAACUUACCUGAAGAGUAUUUCCAAAUAAACUUCUCUUUUCCUCGGGACACUUGAAAAUUCUACCCUUACGCUUAUAAAAAGUAGUGAUAAGAGUAGAGAUCAAAUGUAAAAACGAGAAUAAGAAAAUUAACUCUCAAGACACAACAUCAUUGAAAUCAAAUUAAAUUAUAUUGAUACGAAACUAAAAAAAUGAGGAAUAGACAACACAACAUCGAGAUAAAAAACAAACAAAGAAAUUAACGGAUAUAAAAUUAAUUUUCCAAUACACACAUACAGUAGACAUAUAACACGAAAACAUAAAAGAUAAAUAUGAAUAACAAUGCAAAAUUUAAGAGAAUAUGAAAUAUGGAGGAAACUUAUCGAAGAACUAAUUCCCAAUAAACUUCUCUUGACCUCAGAAAACCUAAAAAUUCUACCCUUAUACUUAAAGCAAGGUAGAGAAAGGAGAAGAGAUCAAAUGUUAAAACCACAAUGUCCUUGAGAGUAAAUAAAAUUAUUCGGAUACGAAACUAAAGAAAUGAGUAAUAGAAAACACAACAUCAAGCUUUUAAAAAAAAACAAAGAAAUCAAAGGAUUGAAAAUUAAUUCUCUACUACAUACAUGCAGUCAACAAAUAAUACUCAAACAUAAAAGAGAAUAAUAAAGAACAAUGCAAAAUCGAAGAGAAUAGGGGAUACAGAGGAAACUUACCUGACAAGUAUUUCCAAAUAAACUUCUCUUUUCCUCGGGACACUUGAAAAUUCUACCUUUACGCUUAUAGAAAGUAUCAAAAGGAGUAGAGAUCAAAUGUUAAAACAAGAAUAAGAAAUUAACUCUCAAGGCACAAUAUCUUGAAAGGAAAUUAAAUUAUGCUGAUACGAAACUAAAGAAAUGAGGAAUAGACAACGCAACAUAAAGAUAAAAGACAAAAAAAGAAAUUAACGGUUUCAAAAUUAAUUUUCUAGUACACACAUACAGUUGACAUAUAACACGAAAACAUACAAGAUAAUUAUCAAGAACAAUGCAAAAUUUGAGAGAAUAGGGAAUACGGGGGAAACUUAUACAAGAACUAAUUCCCAAAAAGCUUCUCUUCACCACGGGAAACCUGAAAAUUCUACUGUUACGCUUAAAGGAAGGCCGAGAAAGGAGUAGAGAUCAAAUGUUAAAACCACAAUUUUCUUAAGAGUAAAUAAAAUUAUUUUGAUAAGAAACUUAAGAAAUGAGUAAUAGAAAACUCAACAUAGAGCUCUAAAAAAAAACAAUGAAAUCAAAGGAUUGAUAAUUCAUUCUCUACUACAUACAUGCAAUCAACAAAUAAUACUCAAAACACAAAAGAGAAGAAUGAAGAACAAUACGUAAUGAAGGAGAAUAGGGGAUACGGAGGAAACUUACCUGACAAGUAUUUCACAAUAAACUUCUCUUUUCUUUGGGAAACCUAAAAAUUCUACCCUUACGCUUAUAUAAGGUAGCGAAAGGAGUAGAGAUCAAAUGUAAAAACGAGAAUAAGAAAAUUAACUCUUAAGGCUCGUUGAAAGAAAAUCAAAUUAUGCAGAUACGAAACUAAAGAAAUGAGGAAUAGACAACGCAAGAUAAAGAUAAAAAACAAACGAAGAAAUUAACAGAAUCAAAAUUAAUUUUCUAGCACACACAUACAGUAGACAUAUACACGAAAACAUACAAGAUAAAUAUGAAGAACAUUACAAAAUUUGAGAGAAUAGGGAAUACGGAGGAAACUUAUCCAAGAACUAAUUCCCAAUAAACUUAUCUUCACCACGGAAAAGCUAAAAAUUUUACUCUUACGCUUAAAAUAAGGUAGAGAAAAGAGUAGAAAUCAAAUGUUAAAACCACCUUGUCCUUGAAAGUAAAUAAAAUUAUUUUGAUAAGAAACUAAAGAAAUGAGUAAUAAAAACCACAACAUAGAGCUCUAAAAAAAACAAUGGAAUCAAAGGAUUGAAAAUUCAUUCUCUACUACAUAUACACAGUUAACAAAUAACAAUCAAACAUAAAAGAGAAGAAUGAAGAACAAUGCAAAAUAGAGGAGAAUAGGGGAUACGGAAAAAACUUACCUGACAAGUAUUUCCAAACAAACUUCUCUUUUCCUCGGGAAACCUAAAAAUUCUAACCUUACGCUUAUAGAAGGUAGCGAAAGGAGUAGAUAACAAAUGUAAAAACGAGAAUAAGAAAAUUAACUCUUAUGGCACAAUACCGGUUAAAGGAAAUCAAAUUAUGCAGAUAUGAAACUAAAGAAAUGAGGAAUACACAACGCAAGAUCAAGAUAAAAAACAAACAAAGAAGUAAACGGAUUCAUAAAUUAAUUUUCUAGUACACACAUACAGUAGACAUAUAACACGAAAACAUAAAAGAUAAAUAUGAAAAACAGUACAAAAUUUGAGAGAAUAGGGAAUAGGGAGGAAACUUAUCGAAGAAUUAAUUUUCAAUAAACUUCUCUUGACCACGCGAAACCUGAAAAUUCUAUCCUUAUGCUUAAAGCAAAGUAGAGAAAGGAAAAGAUAUCAAAUGUUAAAACCACAGUGUCAUUGAAAGUAAAUAAAAUUAUUCGGAUACGAAACUAAAUAAAUGACCAAUAGAGAACACAACAUCAAGCUUUUAAAAACAAACAAAGAAAUUAAAGGAUUGAAAAUUAAUUCUCUACUACAUACAUGCAAUCAACAAAUAACACUCAAACAUAAAAGAAAAGAAUGAAGAACAAUGCAAAAUGGAGGAGAAUUGGGGAUACGGAGGAAACUUACCUGAUAAGUAUUUCCAAAUAAACUUCUCUUUUCCUUCACAAACCUGAAAAUUCUACCCUUACGCUUAAAGCAAGGUAGAGAAAAGAGUAGAGAAUAAAUGUUAAAACAUCAAUGUCCUUGAGAGUAAAUAAAAUUAAUUUGAUACGAAACUAAAGAAAUGAAUUAGAAAAUACAACAUAGAGCUCUAAAAAAAACAAUGAAAUCAAAGGAUUGAAAAUUCAUUCUCUACUACAUACAUGCAGUCAACAAAUAACACUCAAAACAUAAAAGAAAAGAAUGAAGAACAAUGCAAAAUGGAGGAGAAUUGGGGAUACGGAGGAAACUUACCUGAUAAGUAUUUCCAAAUAAAAUUCUCUUUUCCUUCGCAAACCUAAAAAUUCUACCCUUACGCUUAUAGAAUGUAGCGAAAGUAGUAAAGAUUAAAUGUAAAAACGAGCAUAAGAAAAUUAACUCUUAAGGCACAAUAUCGUUGAAAUGAAAUCAAAUUAUGUUGAUACGAAACUAAAGAAAUGGGGAAUAGCUAACGCAACAUCAAGAUAAAAACAAACAAACAAAUUAACGAAUUCAAAAUUAGUUUUCUAGUACACACAUACAGUAGACAUAUAACAGGAAUUUCGUGCACCACGCGUGCCACCGUUCGUGCACCAUGGCGUACCACCUUCUGUGCACCGCGGCGUGCCACCAUCCGUGCACCGCAGCGUGCCACCAUCCGUGCACCACAGCGUGCCACCGUUCGUGCACCGCACACGCAAGGACUCAUGCCACCACGCGUCCAAGGACGCGUGCCAUCGCGCAUGCUAAGACACCUUCCACCGUGCAUGCGGUGUUCAUGCAUCGCACGUGCCACAGUCUAUGCACUACACACGCAAGGACUCAUGCCACCCCGCAUGCAAAGACCAGUGCCACCAUACGUGGAAAGACACGUGCCACCGUCCGUGCACCGCACAUGCAAGGCGCAAGGACGAGUGCCAUCGCGCGUGUAAGGACGAGUGCCACCACGCGUGUAAGGACGAGUGCCGCACAUGCCACCAUUCGUGCACGCGUGCCACCGUCCAUGCACCGCAUACACAAGGCACAAGGACGCAUGCCACCGUGCAUGCAAAGACGAGUGCCAGCACGCGUGCAAGAACGUGUGCCAUCGCGUGCAUGCAAAGACGCGUGCACAGUUUCGUGCACCACGCGUGCCACCAUCCAUGCACCUGUGCAUGCCACCAUUCGUGCAUCACGCAGGCCAUCGUUCGUGCAUCGCGCAGGCCACACCGUCCAUGCGGUACAAGGCGCAAGGACACAUGUCACUGCGCAUGCAAGGACAAGUGCCACCACGCUUGGAAGGACAAGUGCCACCGCACAUGUCACCGUUCGUGCACCACGCAUGUCACUGUCCAUGCACCGUACACACAAGACGCAAGGACGCAUGCCAUUGUGCAUGCAAAAACGAGUGCCACCACAAGGGCACAUGCCACUGCGAGUGCAAGGACAAUUGCCAUCGUGGGUGCAAGGACAAUUGCCACCGUGGGUGCAAGGACGCGUGCCACCGUGCAUGCAAGGACGAGUGUCACCGCACAUGCAAGGACGUGUCACCGCACAUGCAAGGAUGAGUGCCACCGCGCAUGCAAGGACGAGUGCCACUGCGCAAGCAAGGACGAGUGACAGCGUGCAUUUAGACGAGUGCCACCAUGCAUGCCACCAUUUGUGCACCGCGCAUGCCAUCAUCCAGAUGGCACACGCAAGGCGCAAGGGCGCAAGGACGCAUGUCAUCGCGCAUGCAAAAACACCACACGUGCUACGCGUGUCACCGUCUAUGCACCGCCCGAGCUACCAUUUGUGUACCGUCCGUGCACCGUGCGUGCCAUAGUCUAUGCACCACGCAUGCCAUCAUCUGCCACUGUCCGAGGAACCGCGUGUGCCACCAUCCGUGCAUCGCACAUGCAAGGCACAAGGACGCAUGCCACUACGAGUUCAAGGAUGCGUGCCACCGCGCAUGCCACUGGACAUGCACCGUUCGUGCCAUGCCACCGCUACACACGCAAGGCGCAAGGACACAUGCCACGACAAAUGCAAAGACUAGUGUCACCACACGUGCAAGAACGCGUACAAGGACGCUUGCACACGUCCGUGCACCACGCGUGCCACCGUCCCUGCGGUGCAAGGCGCAAGAACGCAUGCCACGAACGGUGUCACCACGCGUGCAAGGAUGAGUGCCACCGCGCGUGCCAUCGUCCAUGCACGGCGCGUGCCACCAUCCGUGCACCGCGCGUGCCACCGUCCGUGCACCGCAAAUGCAAGGCACAAGGACGCAUGCCACUGCGAGUGCAAAGACGCAUGCCACUACGCGUGCAAGGACGAGUGCUACCACACGUGCAAGAACGUGUGCCACUGCGCGUGCAAGGACGCGUGCCACCACGCGUGCAAGAACGCGUGCCACCACGCGUGCAAGAACGCAUGCCACCACGCGUGCAAGAACGCGUGCCACCGUUCGUGCACCGCAAAUGCAAGGCGCAAGGACGCAUGCCACUACGAGUGCAAGGACGUGUGCCACUGCGCGUGCAAGGAUGCAUGCCACCACGCAUGCAAGGACGAGUGUCACCAUGCGUGCAAGAACGCGUGCCACCGUCCGUGCACCGCGCGUACCACCGUCUGUGCACUGCAAAUGCAAGGCGCAAGGACGCAUGCCACUACAAGUGCAAGGACGCAUGCCACUACGAGUGCAAGGACGCAUGCCACUACGAGUGCAAGGACACAUGCAACUGCGCGUGCAAGGACGAGUGCCACUACAAGUGCAAUGUUGUGUUUUCUAUUACUCAUUUCUUUACUUUCUUAUCAAAAUAAUUUUAUUUUCUUUGAAGUACAUUGUGGUUUUACAAUUUGAUUUCUACUCCUUUCUCUACCUUGCUUUAAGAGUAAGGGUAGAAUUUUCAGGUUUCCCGUUGUCAAGAGAAGUUUAUUGGGAAUUAAUUAUUCGAUAAGUUUCCUCUAUAUUCCCUAUUCCCUCAAAUUUUGCACGGUUCUUCAUAUUUAUCUUUUAUGUUUUCGUGUUAUAUGCCUACUGUAUGUGUGUAUUAGAAAAUUAAUUUUCAAUCCGUUAAUUUGUUUGCUUGUUUUUUUAUCUUGAUGUUGCGUUGUCUAUUCCUCAUUUCCUUAGUUUCGUAUAUGCAUAAUUUGAUUUCCUUUCAACGAUAUUGUGCCUUAAGUUUUAUAUUUCUUAGUCUCGUUUUUACAUUUGAUUUCUACUCCUUUCGCUACCUUCUCUAAGCGUAAGGCCAGAAUUUUCAGGUUCCCCGAGGAAAAGAGAAGCUUAUUUGGAAAUACUUGUCAGGUAAGUUUCCUCUGUAUCCCUUACUCUCUUUCAUUUCGCAUUGUUUUUUAUUCUUCUUUUUUAUGUUUGAGUGUUAUUUGUUGACCACAUGUAUGUAGUAGAUAAUUAAUUUUCAAUCCUUUGAUUUCUUUGUUUGUUUUUAAAAGCUUGAUGUUGAGUUUUUUAUUGCUCAUAUCUUUAGUUUCAUAUCCGAAUAAUUUUAUUUACUCUCAAAGACAUUGUGGUUUUAACAUUUGAUCUCUUCUCCUUUCUCUACCUUGCUUUAAGCAUAAGGGUGGAAUUUUCAGGCUUCCCGUGGUCAAGAGAAGUUUAUUGGGAAUUAGUUAUUCGAUAAGUUUCCUCCAUAUUCCCUAUUCUCUCAAAUUUUGCAUUGUUCUUCAUAUUAAUCUUUUAUGUUUUCGUGUUAUAUGCCUACUGUAUGUGUGUAUUAGAAAAUUAAUUUUCAAUUCGUUAAUUUGUUUGCUUGUUUUUUUUAUCUUCAUUUUGCGUUGUCUAUUCCUCAUUUCCUUAGCUUCGUAUAUGCAUAAUUUGAUUUCCUUUCAACGAUAUUGUGCCUUAAGUUUUAUAUUUCUUAGUCUCGUUUUUACAUUUGAUUUCUACUUCUUUCGCUACCUUCUAUAAGCAUAAGGGUAGAAUUUUCAGGUUUACCGAGGAAAAGAGAAGCUUAUUUGGAAAUACUUGUCAG
rnacentral:lncRNA from 1 species